GAUCCUGGCUCAGAACGAACGCUGGCGGCAGGCUUAACACAUGCAAGUCGAGCGCACCUUCGGGGUGAGCGGCAGACGGGUGAGUAACGCGUGGGGAUGUGCCUGGUGGUACGGGGAACUAAGGGAAACGUGAGCUAAUACGAUAAGCCUUUUUGGGAAAGAUUUAUCGCCACCAGAUUAACCCGCGUUGGAUUAGCUAGUUGGUGAGGUAACGGCUCACCAAGGCGACGAUCCAUAGCUGGUCUGAGAGGAUGAUCAGCCACACUGGGACUGAGACACGGCCCAGACUCCUACGGGAGGCAGCAGUGGGAAAUAUUGGACAAUGGGCGAAGCCUGAUCCAGCCAUGCCGCGUGUGUGAUUCAGGCCUUAGGGUUGUAAACCUCUUUGACUGGGGCAGAUAAUGACGGUACCCAGGUAAGAAGCCCCGGCUAACUUGUGCCAGCA
rnacentral:rRNA from 1 species